GACGAGGGAUCCUAGCGUUGCUCGGAAUCAUUGGGCGUAAAGCGGGUGUAGGUGGCUUGACAAGUCAGGUGUGAAAGCCCAGGGCUCAACCCUGGAAAUGCAUUUGAAACUGUCGAGCUUGAGUGCUAGAGAGGUUAUUAGAAUACCUGGUGUAGUGGUGAAAUACGUAGAUAUCAGGUGGAACACCGGAGGCGAAGGCGGAUAACUGGCUAGACACUGACACUGAGACCCGAAAAGUGUGGGGGAUCAAAACAGG
rnacentral:rRNA from 1 species